GUUGACAUAUGUUCCCUGCUGGUCAGAAAUACUAUACUUCUGUGAAAGGUUGAUUCAGGAAAUAAUCCCAGUUCAAAAGAGCUUUGUGGUUCACUUGACUCCAGGCACACAGUGUAUUGAAGAGAAUCAGAAGUCCUGGUGGAACUGAAGCCUGCACAUAACACAAGGCAUCAUGAUAUCAUGGCAGAAGGGCAUGGAAGAGCAAAAUAGCUCACUUCAUACUAGCCAGGAAACAGAAAGAGAGAGAGAAGGAAUUGAGGGACAGGAAGGAGAAGGAGAGGAAGCAGAGAGGGAAAGAAGAAGAAGGGAAGACCAGCACCAGACACCCUUCAAAUGCAAGCCCUCAAUAAUCUACUUCAUCUAGGCCUCACCUUGUUACAUUUCCACCACUCCCAAAACAGCUCCUCUUCUUGGGAACCAAGUCUUCAACAUAUUGUGGGGAGUAUUUUAUGUUCAAUCUGUAACAUUCUGUUCCCAACUCCCAAAGGCUCGUGGCCAUCUCAUAAUAUAAAAUGUACUUAGUACAUCUUGAAGAGUCCUUAAAUUGUAACUAUUCCAGUGUUGUUCAAUAGUCGAAGUUGAGCUGGAGGUGUGGUUCAGCAGUAAGAAUGACUGCCUACCCAGCAGAAGACUGAGUUCAAACCUCAGUC